rnacentral:rRNA from 1 species
AACGAACGCUGGCGGCGUACUUAACACAUGCAAGUCGUACGAGAAAUUCCGUUUCGGCGGGAGAGUAAAGUGGCGAACGGGUGAGUAAUACAAGGGUAAUCUGCCCUUAAAUUAGGGAUAACCUUGCGAAAGCGAAGCUAAUACCUGAUAAGACUACGACCUCUUAGGAGAAUGUAGGAAAAGAUGGCCUCUGUUUCAAGCUAUCGUUUAAGGAUGAGCCCUUGCACUAUUAGCUUGUUGGUGGGGUAACGGCCUACCAAGGCGACGAUGGUUAGCUGGUCUGAGAGGAUGACCAGCCACACUGGAACUGAGACACGGUCCAGACUCCUACGGGAGGCAGCAGUGAGGAAUAUUGCGCAAUGGGGGAAACCCUGACGCAGUGACGCCGCGUGAGUGAUGAAGGCUUUCGAGUCGUAAAGCUCUGUUAGGUGGAAAGAAACAUUCCAACGCUAAUAUCGUUGGAACUUGACGGUACCACCAGAGGAAGCACCGGCUAACUCCGUG